GAUGAACGCUGGCGGCGUGCUAAACACAUGCAAGUCGAACGAAGCACCUUGAUUCGAUUCUUCGGAUGAAGAUCUUGGUGACUGAGUGGCGGACGGGUGAGUAACGCGUGGGUAACCUGCCUCAUACAGGGGGAUAACAGUUAGAAAUGACUGCUAAUACCGCAUAAGACCACAGCACCGCAUGGUGCAGGGGUAAAAACUCCGGUGGUAUGAGAUGGACCCGCGUCUGAUUAGGUAGUUGGUGGGGUAACGGCCUACCAAGCCGACGAUCAGUAGCCGACCUGAGAGGGUGACCGGCCACAUUGGGACUGAGACACGGCCCAAACUCCUACGGGAGGCAGCAGUGGGGAAUAUUGCACAAUGGGGGAAACCCUGAUGCAGCGACGCCGCGUGAGCGAUGAAGUAUUUCGGUAUGUAAAGCUCUAUCAGCAGGGAAGAAAAUGACGGUACCUGACUAAGAAGCACCGGCUAAAUACGUG
rnacentral:rRNA from 1 species